rnacentral:ncRNA from 1 species
AGAGAAGGUCUCUCGGUGUCGGUGUGCAGGCACUGGCAUCAAACCCUCUGCAAGCCGCUGCAAUCGGAAACGUUGCGGUGGUGAGCGUUGCAGAGAGGUAU